rnacentral:misc_RNA from 1 species
UAUCUCUCCUAAUCUAAUGUUUUUUGAUAUUGGACUAGGGACUUGGGGUCUUUCUCGUCGGAAGCUAGCAUUAUUUUAGUUAGUACCCGGUGAACCCUUUAAAUAUAGUAAGCUCCCAUCUUUUUUGGAAAUACGCAAACUUGAGGAUGGCGUCGUAGCAAUCACUUUUAGUAUUGUCGAAACGCCUAUUAACAACUCCUCUAAUCUGCGGUGCUAAUCCAUUUCAGUGGGCGAAGCUUGUCGACUGGCAAAGUGCCAUGCUCUCUUAAUGGAGUACACGAACAA